rnacentral:snRNA from 1 species
UUUAAAUUAGCGAUGUGCCGCAGG